UCAUGGGGUGCGUGCGGAAGCAGAGACAUGAAAAACAAGUAAAGGCCGGCAGUGUUCCUGUUGGACAUUGAUUCUAGCAAAUGCUGGAUGAAAGCUACAAGACUGAGGUCCUGCUGCUAAUUAGUCGGCUUUAAAUGUCUGGAACAGCGAAGGUGAAGGAUGGCCACCAGAAGCACAAGGCUCUGUUUCAUCAGAUUAGUGGCCACAGCAAGACAACUCCUCUUCCCAGCAAGUCCCAGAAAUGACUCCUGUUGGCACGAACCUAUCUCUGAAUCUAUCAGUGACUCCGAUUGGCUGGACUUGGCCAUAUGAAUGUUUCUGAAGAAGGCUGUGGGUGUUACCAACCCCAUGCAAAUAAGCUGAGAGGAAGGCGUGAUUCCCCAGAGGAGAACUGAAGUGUCGAUAAAAGAGCAAGAUAUUAAACUUAAAGGAGCUGUAAUUGUACGUCGAUCGUCUUUGACUCUCCUACAUCGACUGCUCAGAUUAAACAUCCUUUCUUAACCACCCUACUCUGGCACUCAGCAAGCCGUGGAAUGAGAAAGAAUUGGCUGGAAGUAAACAGUCUGCUUGCUCAUAGCAACUGAAAGUUUUCUUCCGAUGGUUCUGGUUCCAGGGGAGGUUGCUGAAGAUUAAAUCCUGAAGUCUGUCCCAUUCAGAGAGCAACAGCCUGGCUUCUGGUGGCUACAGCAUCAGCUGCUGCUUCUCGUGGUUGCCGUCAAUACUACCCUUCCCCACUCUGGAAAAUGUCUGAGUUGGUCAUUGAUGGUCCCUCAGCUCUGCAUGUCUCCCAGUUCUGGUGAGAAAUGCUACCCUGGAUGACGUGACAAAGCAGAAGGCAAAAUCAACAACAACAACAGAAUAAAAAUAA